rnacentral:rRNA from 1 species
UACACUCCUACGGGAGGCAGCAGUGAGGAAUAUUGGACAAUGGGUGGAAGCCUGAUCCAGCCAUCCCGCGUGCAGGAAGACGGCCCUAUGGGUUGUAAACUGCUUUUAUCUGGGGAUAAACCUACUUACGUGUAAGUAGCUGAAGGUACCAGAAGAAUAAGCACCGGCUAACUCCGUGCCAGCAGCCGCGGUAAUACGGAGGGUGCAAGCGUUAUCCGGAUUUAUUGGGUUUAAAGUGUCCGUAGGCGGACUGAUAAGUCAGUGGUGAAAUCCGACAGCUUAACUGUCGAACUGCCAGUGAUACUGUUAGUCUUGAGUAAGGUUGAAGUCGCUGGAAUAAGUAGUGUAGCGGUGAAAUGCAUAGAUAUUACUUAGAACACCAAUUGCGAAGGCAGGUCACUAAGUCUUAACUGACGCUGAUGGACGAAAGCGUGGGGAGCGAACAGGAUUAGAAACCCGUGUAGUCC